rnacentral:lncRNA from 1 species
AAUCAAUCUUUGAAUCGAAUUAAGCAGAUUCUGCCUGUCCUGCGAUUGUAGCACUCUUACACUUAUCUUUAUUUCAACCUUCUUUUUGGCAGGUAAACGGAGUCUCUUUCACUUCUAAAAGACGGAUAAUCAAAUUAGGCCCCACCAAAGAAAUACUCCCGGAUCACUAUUCAAGGAUGUUGUCGUGACGAUGCGGCUCGAUCGCAGGAACCAUCACAGCUGGACAGAUUCUCCCCCUCCCAUUCAUCUCUCGUCUUCUCGAACACCGACUAUAAAAGGGAUGUGACAUCAGUGAAGGACAACGCUCCUCACACGUAGGUUCUUCUUGUCCGUCACAAAUGCAAACAAGGUUUUGGAAUGAAGGCGGCCAAAGCUCAAAGCGUCGUCGAUCGUCCUCCGCCCGUUUGGCCGACACUUUGCAGAGAGUGUGCCCGACACCUGCCUUUGUUGGUGUCCGUCGUCACGUCGGUCUCUUCCAAAGCUCCGCCCUCGCGUGUCCUUUCACUCCUAAGACCGUCUGUAAAUGCCAUCGCUGACGAACCUCCGGAAUUCCAGCCUCAACUUCAAGAGAGAGUCCAGGUGCUGAAAGUCAUGCCGACACAUCUCCAAGCUGCUCGUAAAUAUGCUUAGUGAAAGUGGAUUUCAAAAUCAAUUGUUGAUAUUGUAAUGGGAGCAUGCAUUCACACAUACAUUUAGAGCAAGUAGUGAAAUUUAAUUAUCUUUUUCUUUUAAUCGAGAUCAAAAUUUCACAUUUUUUACGUCACAUCAAAUAGUGAGAUUUUGAAGAAAGAAAAAACAUUGGUUGAGUGCUGUGCAUGUGAAUAAUAGCAAGACCUAAAUAUUCAUUUAAUUUUUUAAGGAAUAUUUUCUAUUCCACCAUGUUUGAAUCGCCCGCACGCUAAAUCAAUGAGAGGUCAAACAGCUUGGGUCACAAUUGGGCAUCACAGUGCCGGUGAUAGUAUUAGUGAGAAUUUUUCUGACACGUAAAUUGGUGCAAUAACGUGAGAUUUGGAUUGCGUCUAACAUUUUAAUUUCGGGGAAUGUGUGAACACCCCUAUUGAUACUUCAAAGAUGUUGCACUUUUUGAAAAUCAAAUUUUAAUUGUGUUUUUUUGCAGCGGCCUGUCCAAAGUUGUCUUUGGGUCCUUGCAAAUUUGAGCUUCUCAAGUAAGCUGUAAGACGACUUAUUUUGUUUAUAUUUUUUCUUAGUUAAUUUGAUAAUGUCCCAAGUCCCAUUUUCCUAUGCAUACUGAAUAUCUUGUUAAUAAAGUCACAAUCUUCUUCUUACAAGUCAGUAAAAGAGAAACAGAUAAGAUCUAAAAGACUUGAACAAAAAAUCAACCUUGGGUAAUGCAGUAGGCCUGUACAUUACCCAUUAACAUUCAAUGACGCAUUACAUAAUCUGAACGUGAUUUCUGUUAGAUAUGAGUAUUAAAAUUAUACAAGUACUGAGAAAUCCCUGUCCUUUUAAAAAAAAAUGGUGUUACAUGUGUAGAGCAGUCAAAACUGUAAUAGAAGCAAGUUCUCAAAAUGUUGGUUUGUUGAAUAAAUGCUAAUGACCUUCUGCCAGUCCCACUACAACAUCUUCAAAAGGAAAAGAAAAGAGAGAAAACUUGUUGCAAACAAAAUGUUCUUUAAUAAGGGUAAUUAUUUUGAGGCCCACGGUAUUGUCUGAUAUAUGGCUUCAGAAGGAAUUAUGAUGAAUCAUCUCAAGGCUUUGUUUAACCAAAAAUGAACCUUGGGUAAUGCAGUAGGCCUGUACAUUACCCAUUAACAUUCAAUGACGCAUUACAUAAUCUGAACGUGAUUUCUGUUAGAUAUGAGUAUUAAAAUUAUACAAGUACAUGUUUCAUAAUAAGAUCGAUUGUAAAUGGUAUUAAAAUUCAACAUGUUUAGAAGCUGAAUUGUGAUCAUUACAGCAAAUUGCUCAUUUAAAAUUUUCAAAAGAUUUGAAAGUUAAUGUUGACACGUUGCAAAAAAGUGACUUAAGUAUUUGAUGUUAAAUAACAGUUUAUGUGAUGGAAAAUGACAUUUAGAAUUAAAAUUUAUAAUGAUGUAAUAUAUAUAUAUACGUAUACAGUAUUUCAAAGAACUGUUGUUAUUAAAGAGCAAUUUGUAUGACGGAAAAUGACAUUUAAAGUUUGAAUAAUGUUAUUACAGUACUGCUUUGCAAUUUAAAGAGUACAGAAGUAUCGAUUUAAAAAUUGUAGUACAAGUUUAAGAAGCAUUGGUUUUCAUUUUUAAAAUAAACCAUUGGUAAGUUAAAGUGUAUGAGAUGCUCUUGUUUGAUUUUUUUGUUCAAUUCUUAUUUUGUAUUUUUAAGGUUUAAGUAUCAAUUACUGAAAGGUUGCAAGACCUUACAAUUUCAAUCUCACUGUGGUGAAAGAUUAUUUACUUCUUUGAUUUAUGUUGACUUUAACUAUCAAUCCUAUGAAUAAUCAAAAUGUCUGCAUGAAGGAUCAGGGUUCUAAUGAGUGUAUCAAGUUUUUUUUUUUUAAUGGAAACCUCAUCCCAAAGAAUAAGUGUAGGUAUGAAAAAUGAGAUUUAUUCCUGUUCUUUGAUGUUCAAUAUUCCUUACCAAAGUGUACAAGAGAUAUAAAAAUGAAGAUAUUCUUGGCAUGCUAAUAUGCCUUUUAGCAUGACAUGGGCGCAGAUAUUUUCUUGAAAAUGUGACGUACUAGGCAAACUUGUACAUGUAUCACACACCAAGCUCUAGUUGCAAAUACUUUUUAGGCCAAUAACAACAUCUUUACUCUUCAAUGAGGGAAUAAUCAUAGCUGGGAUGGUAAAAAUUAUAUUUGGUGAAAAAUUUAUAAACAGGAGAACAAUAGGAACUCAUUUAUUUAAAAGUACUAAAAAAUUAGCAGCCGACGAAUUUGUAUAAUAAUUAUGCAAUUUGUGUUGUGCCAAUUAUAGUACAUAAUAUACAUGUACAAUAUAUGCCCAUAUCAUGCUGAUAAACUGUACAUGAUUCUAUUAACAGAGACAAAAACAGAAAGUGAGUACCUUAUAUCAAUUGUUCAAAUGCAUUUAAACUAAAAGACUGAACUAAAAAAGAUGAGUGGAAUAUUGAGGGGCCUAUAGUAUGCUAUAAUAUUGCCAAAACUACUCAAUUUAGGUAGUUACAAUCCAUUUUCUCUUGUGUAUUAGUUAAUAAACUGAGAAAUCCCUGUCCUUUUU